rnacentral:rRNA from 1 species
UACGAAGGGGGCUAGCGUUGCUCGGAAUUACUGGGCGUAAAGCGCACGUAGGCGGCUUUCUAAGUCGGGGGUGAAAUCCUGGAGCUCAACUCCAGAACUGCCUUCGAUACUGGAAAGCUCGAGUCCGGGAGAGGUAAGUGGAACUGCGAGUGUAGAGGUGAAAUUCGUAGAUAUUCGCAAGAACACCAGUGGCGAAGGCGGCUUACUGGUCCGGUUCUGACGCUGAGGCGCGAAAGCGUGGGGAGCAAACAGG